UCGGCACCUGGGCCAGGAAAACUGGAGGCCUGUGCUCUUGUGGAAUGGGUGGUUACAACUGCCAGUGACAAACAGGUCCACCUGGGGAGUCCCUCACCUGUGGAAGAUCACAUUGACCACCUCUGGAUGGAGUGACCUCUCAUGGUGAGAUGAGAAGGACCUGCUGAGGAGAUCUGCUAGUGCAUUCCUGGCCCCUGGGAGGUGCGAUGCUACGAGAUGAAUGCAGGCUGAGAUCCUGACAAGUGGCUCGCACCAACACAAGGCUGUGUUGGACCUGGACCCACGAUCUGCCUCUGAUUGGCCAGUCAUGAGGUACAGAUAAAUCUGUAUGCCUUUCCACCUCAGGAGGGCUGGUGAAGUGGACCCGGAUAUCUGGGUGGCAGUGAAGGUGGCUGGAACUGUCUCCUAGUGGCCUAAGUUUCUCAGGCUGAGGAGCAGCUCUGCUAACUGGUGGCCUGAAACAAACACAGAGAAAACAAAAAACGAAGAUAAUUAAUACAUCUGAAAUGCCUGC